rnacentral:sRNA from 1 species
AUUAAAUUUAUGAAAAACUAAAAGAAAGAAAAAACGUUUCUUCUAUUUUUCCUCUACACUCAUUCCUCUUCAUUCCUAUUUUAUCAUUUUUUUUUUCUUUUUUGUUCUUUUUUAGUCAUGUUCCUCUUCAUUCCUUGUAUUUCUUUAUAGGUCACCAAUCGGAUCCUAUAUUUUUAGGGAUAGUGAAAAAGAGUGGUAAACGUAAAACUUUGAGCUUUUUGAUUGAU